ACGCGGGUCUAGCUGCCGGAGGCCUCCCACCGUUUUUGGCAAUGGUAGAACUCACACCGGUA
ensembl:miRNA Mir182 microRNA 182